AACCCCUCCAGGGAUGGGGACUCCACCACCUCCCUGGGCAGCCCAUUCCAACGCCAAACAACCCCUUCUGGAAAGAAAUGCUUCCUAAUAUCUACUCUGAACUUUCCCUGACGCAACUUGAGGCCAUGUCCCAUCCCUCUUUUCCAAGCACUUGUUACUUGGUUAAAU